AAUUUUGACAUCUGGUAUGAGCAAAUGAGUUAUUCUUUUCUUCUUUUUGUGGGUUAUUCUGUGGUGUCGAUUUUGGAAUGGGUAUUUGGAGGAAGUUGAAAAGUUUCUUUUUUUUUAGAUUUGGGAAUUUUGUUUUUGUUUUGUGCAUUUUUUUCUCAGCAGCGGAUCGAACUCUUUGGUGGUCGGAUUUGCUGAGAUGCGUGCAGUUCUAUAAGAUUUUAUUAUCUGGGUUUCUUUUCUUGGAUUUUCCCAGAUUCCAAACGGAUACUUCUUUUCCCUUCUGGCAUAACUAGUUCUAUGACUAGCGAUCUAGCUUGUUGAGCCUCUAGUAAAACCUGAGAUUAUGUUUCUGCUAUUUUUCCCCCCUUAUCUUGAUCUUAGAUCUCUCUUUCUAAGGCGCAACCUUUCAUCUUA
rnacentral:misc_RNA from 1 species